AUCCCUGCGUGGUACGUGUAGAACGGAAUUUUAGAACCAACAAAUUCUAAAAGGGAGUCCGCCUUUGAAUGUGGCGUGUAGGCUUAGAGUAUACUUUAAGAAACCCAGGAGCAUUCAACAAGACACCCACCUGUCCAAGACAGGUCCAUAAAAUUUCUUUCAGCUUACGGCUAAGGCGGGGCUU
rnacentral:other from 1 species